AUUGAACGCUGGCGGCACGCUUUACACAUGCAAGUCGAACGGUAACAGGCCGCAAGGUGCUGACGAGUGGCGAACGGGUGAGUAAUGCAUCGGAACGUGCCCAGUCGUGGGGGAUAACGCAGCGAAAGCUGCGCUAAUACCGCAUACGAUCUAGGGAUGAAAGCGGGGGACCGUAAGGCCUCGCGCGAUUGGAGCGGCCGAUGUCAGAUUAGGUAGUUGGUGGGGUAAAGGCUCACCAAGCCAACGAUCUGUAGCUGGUCUGAGAGGACGACAAGCAACACUGGAACUGAGACACGGCACAGACGCCUACGGGAUGCAGCCGUGGGGAAUGUGGGACAAUGGGCGCAAGCCUGAUCCAGCAAUGCCGCGGGCAGGAAGAAGGCCUUCGGGUUGUAAACUGCUGUUGUACGGAACGAAACGGUCCUGGUUAAUACCUGGGGCUAAUGACGGUACCGUAAGAAUAAGCACCGGCUAACUACGUGCCAGCCGCCGCCGUAA
rnacentral:rRNA from 1 species